rnacentral:rRNA from 1 species
UACGAAGGGGGCUAGCGUUGCUCGGAAUCAUUGGGCGUAAAGCGCACGUAGGCGGCCUCGCAAGUCUGAUGUGAAAUCCCUCGGCUCAACCGAGGACGUGCAUCGGAAACUGCGGGGCUUGAGUACUGAAGAGGAUCGCGGAAUUCCCGGUGUAGAGGUGAAAUUCGUAGAUAUCGGGAGGAACACCAGUGGCGAAGGCGGCUUUCUGGUCUGCUCUUGACGCUGAGGCGCGAAAGCUAGGGUAGCAAACGGG